AAUACUUUAACUUCUAGAGUGUGUUCAACUUGGCCAGUCCUCCAAAUUUUGCAAAAAUCGCGUUGUCUUUUUUAUCAUCCAAAUACUAGAGAACUACAAAACUCGUAGUAUAUUUAUAGAAUGUCAAGUUUACAAGAACUUAACCUACAGAACGCAAAACUAAGCAGCCAAUUAAUAAUAUGAGAUUAUUUAAAAUAAGUAGAUUUAAUUUUUUUAUCGCAAUUUAAAUGUUUGUCCCCGUAUUUUUGCUUAUAUGUUACAAUUUUGUAUGUUACCACAAUUUCACCUCUAAUUAAGGUAAAACAUUUUGGUAAUAUUUUGUAUCGAUACUGGCAACACUUAAGUGUCCAUGGACAAAAAGAAAAAAAAAACCAUUUUGUUUACUGUGGUGGGUUUGACAAAAAGUGAGUGCAGGUGUGUGUCGUCAUUCGGGAUUUAUUCGAUUUCAAAGAAGGAAGCGAGCAGAACGAUGAAGAACUUGGCAGCACGGUUAGAGAGAAUAAUGAAAAUGAAGGGAAUUAUUUAAGUUUCAACAUAAAAGAUUCGUUAUGGUUAGAUAAUUUGAAAGAAAAACGUGGAAGUAUUAUAUUGGAUUUGUUGAGAUCAUAGAAUUUAAAAAUGACGAAACAUAUUACAAAAUAAUUUUUUUUUUAAAUGUUAAGAUUUCAAAUAAUUCUGUAAAAUUCUUAGUGCAAAGAAAGUUAGAUCUUGAUUCUGUGACCACAAUUUCUAUAGUAAAAAAGAUAAAUUUGAUUCAGUUAGAGACAGAUUCAAAAGAAUAUUAUCUGCAAAAUGAUGAAGAUACUGUAUUUUUUAUUUAAAUAUUUUAAAUCAUUUGUUAGUUGACAUAAGUAAAAGUGGUUACCUAGUUCCUUUUUUGUGAUUUUAUUGAUUAAUUAGUACACAUUGUGUUUUAAGUACCUAUUUAAUGAAUAGACAUUUUAGAAGAUUU